rnacentral:rRNA from 1 species
GAUGAACGCUGGCGGCGUGCCUAAUACAUGCAAGUCGAGCGAACAGACGGGGAUCUUGCUCCUCUUCCGUUACCGGCGGGCGGGUAAUUAACACGUGGAUAACCUACCUAUAAGGCUGACGUAACUUCAGGGACCCUGAUCUAAUACCCGAUAAUAUAUUGAACCGCAUGGUUCUUUAGUGAAAGACCGUUUUGCUGUCCCUUAUACGUGUAUCCUGGCCGCAUUAGCUAGUUGGUAAGGUAACGGCUUACCAAGGCAACGAUGCGUAGCCGACCUGAGAGGGUGAUCAGCCACACUGGAACUGAGACACGGUCCAGACUCCUACGGGAGGCAGCAGUAGGGAAUCUUCCGCAAUGGGCGAAAGCCUGACGGAGCAACGCCGCGUGAGUGAUGAAGGUCUUCGGAUCGUAAAACUCUGUUAGUAGGGAAGAAGAAAAGUGUAAGUAAACAUGCAUGUUUUGACGUUACCUAAUCAGAAAGCCACGGCUAACUACGUG